AGUUCGGAUUGUAGUCUGCAACUCGACUACAUGAAGCUGGAAUCGCUAGUAAUCGCGAAUCAGAAUGUCGCGGUGAAUACGUUCCCGGGUCUUGUACACACCGCCCGUCACACCAUGGGAGUUGGUAACGCCCGAAGUCAGUGACCCAACCUUAGGGAGGGAGCUGCCGAAGGCGGGACUGAUAACUGGGGUNAAGUCGUAACAAGGUACC
rnacentral:rRNA from 1 species